GAUACGUAGCAACAACAUUCGACUAUAAUCGAAAUCGUAGCAUAAAGAUUAAAGUGUCCAAAAGAAUGACGGGGGAAUAGCAUAGUAAGUUGGCGGAUAUCCAAUUCCACGACAAAUCUGAAACUAGUCACCAACUGCUUAACACUUAAUAAUAGAAUGUUGAAAAACGAAACUGAGAAAAGGCGUAAAAACAAACCAUUUAAAAUAAGGGUAGUAAAUUUGCACUUACACCAAUGAUGAUAGCACCAAUGAUGAGAAAGUACCGUAUACAAACAAGCGUCUGUGCCAUCACAAAUUUAUUAAUAGAAAUCACUUAAACAACAUGAACGGAAGGUGUAGUUAAUACAAGCUAAGGAAAAGAAGAAAGUGUCACUAUCAAGUAUCGAAGAACUGUCACCACGGUGACCAGGCGCAAACCUCAAUCUGAACCGACAUUCCUUAUAGUACUGAGCUACAAACGUAACCAAUUAUGCUACUAGCCUUAUCAAUACAAUUCGAAUGUUAUUACUUCAUAUAAAUAAUGUACGUUUCAUGUUGCAAU